rnacentral:lncRNA from 1 species
AUAUUUUUCAGGGUGACCAAACAGAAUGCAGAGGGCGGGCCUUUCUCUUGGGACCACUUUAAAUUCCCACCCAGUCUUCAGUUAAAAGAAAAAAUGCUGUCUCUUUUCUCAGUUAUUGCACACUUGCCCUGUCCAUGCUUAUUGGGAAAAGAGGAGAGCAACUCCAGACAUCAGGUGAAAGAGGACGCUGAAAAUCCAAGCAAACUUUGGCAAAGGAAGCUAACAUCUGCUACAGCUGGAUUAGCCACGGCUGGAGUACAUUUUAAGGAUCUGCCAAUAUGCUUAUUAAAAUACAGCUCCUCGUUUUACUGAUAGGGAGUGUGGGUUUCCAGGCAUUUGCUGAGGAAGCAACCACAGAUGUGCUGGAAGAUGAAUCCCCAGACUCCAAUAGUGUUUCUGAAUCUCCAGAAGCAUCAACUCUGUUGCCUAUGAUGACCACAGAUAGUGCCUUCAGUAUUGCUCCGGAGAACUCAACUGAUGCGGAUAUUCCAGAAAUUUCUGAAGAAGGUCUGGAAGCAGCUGCCUUGGUUGGUAUUAUCCUUGGCAUCAUCAUUUCUAUUGGAGUUGCUACAGCCAUCAUUUUCACCGUGGUGCGGAAAAUGUCCGGCAGGUAUUCGUAAGUAGUGUGCGAAACAGCUGUCACUCCAGUGGAAAAAUCUCAAUAUGGAGCACCCUCUUUCCAUGACCUGGGCGAGGUUUCUCAGAAGUGAGACCUACCAGUUCUGUAAGAACAUCAGCAAAUCUCUAACCUACUGAACCUCUAGUCCACCUGGGGCAGGUUCUCACGUCCUGGUUGAACAGCCAGGUCCCAUUGACACUUCUUUGGCAAUGCAAAAAAAUUGAUGUGUUUGGAGGAAAGGCCUUUUUGUGGACAGGAUGGGCUACACUCUCAAAAUAAUAAAAACAAUUCCUUACUUUCA